UACGUAGGGUGCAAGCGUUGUCCGGAAUUAUUGGGCGUAAAGAGCUCGUAGGCGGUUUGUCGCGUCUGCUGUGAAAACUCAGGGCUUAACCCUGAGCCUGCAGUGGGUACGGGCAGACUAGAGUGUGGUAGGGGAGAUCGGAAUUCCUGGUGUAGCGGUGGAAUGCGCAGAUAUCAGGGGGAACACCGGUGGCGAAGGCGGACCUCUGGGCCAUAACUGACGCUGAGAGACGAAAGCUAGGGGAGCGAAUGGG
rnacentral:rRNA from 1 species